AUUGAACGCUGGCGGCAGGCCUAACACAUGCAAGUCGAACGGUAACAGAAAGCAGCUUGCUGCUUUGCUGACGAGUGGCGGACGGGUGAGUAAUGUCUGGGAAACUGCCUGAUGGAGGGGGAUAACUACUGGAAACGGUAGCUAAUACCGCAUAACGUCGCAAGACCAAAGAGGGGGACCUUCGGGCCUCUUGCCAUCGGAUGUGCCCAGAUGGGAUUAGCUAGUAGGUGGGGUAAAGGCUCACCUAGGCGACGAUCCCUAGCUGGUCUGAGAGGAUGACCAGCCACACUGGAACUGAGACACGGUCCAGACUCCUACGGGAGGCAGCAGUGGGGAAUAUUGCACAAUGGGCGCAAGCCUGAUGCAGCCAUGCCGCGUGUGUGAAGAAGGCCUUCGGGUUGUAAAGUACUUUCAGCGGGGAGGAAGGGAGUAAAGUUAAUACCUUGGCUCAUUGACGUUACCCGCAGAAGAAGCACCGGCUAACCCCGUG
rnacentral:rRNA from 1 species